rnacentral:lncRNA from 1 species
GUAAAAAGUUUUCACCAGUCUAUGUAAUUGUUAUUAAGGGUGUUUUCAAAAAGGCACUAGAUAUGGCUUUCCUCCAAUAGAUAUAAUUGAUAGAUUUAUUAAUGCUUACAAAACCCAGGAUUAACUGCCUUCUUCCAAAUAGAAGGCCUGAAAUGGUCUAAGAGACUUGUAUCAUCCUGGUUAACUUGACUAUUGAAUUUUCCGACUCUAGGCUGCUAAGGAAGUUCUUGAACUGUUUUCUGCCCAUGACCAUUUUCUUCAGAUCUGCCUUUAACUUCCUUCUGCAAAGACUCACUGCCUGCUUUUGUCUGAGUAAAUGCUUACAUAAAUCAUUAUAUAGACUUACUAAAGUAUGUUUUGUUUAGUAAGAAAGUUUUGGAAGGUAGAGAGAAGUGGACCAUUUAUUCUCAGAUAAAACUGUUUAAAUUGAGCUCAACUAAGCACAUAUAAGUAGGUGGCAAACAGAAUGUAGAGUUUUUCUUAAAUCUUAAAAACAUGACAUCAUAUUUGUCU